AGGACAGUGUUGCUGUGGUGAUCCAUGUGUUGAAUAAAGCAGAAAAGACCGGAGUUUCUGUGCUGGAGUUUCUUAACUCAGUUUCUGAGUUAAGAUCUGAUGUGUAGCAUGACUUUUUCCAGUUGGCAACAAUGUUGUCAAACGACUCUGUGAGGAGGGCAAAAAAAGAAAAAAGCAGCUUAGAUCAGGCUGUGGGACCUCUGAUUUCCUGACACUUUUCAAGAGUCGGUUUUCAUCUUUGUAGGGAGGCCACCAGGAGAAGCCAUCCUUAUACCAAGAUUUUGCCACUGGUCCGGUCUUCUCCUCCCCAACAAACUCUACUAUGUACAUUCUGCACAGUUAGUCAAAAGAUACAAAACAGAAUCAUUGUCACAUUCAAUGUAUGUUAUUAAAGUUAU